AAGUCGUAACAAGGUUUCCGUAGGUGAACCUGCGGAAGGAUCAUUAACGAAUGAACGUAGAGUGGGUUGUAGCUGGCCUUUUCAAACAGAGGCACGUGCACGCCUUCUCUUUCAUCCACACACACCCUUGUGCACUUGUGAGACGGAGGCUUAUUUGUUUCCCCUUUAGUUAGGGGGGGACGGGGGUCUCCGUCUGCCUUGACAUAAAACCCAUCAAUGAAUUGAAUGUAACUCGAUGUAAAUCAUCUAUAUACAAA
rnacentral:misc_RNA from 1 species